CAUCCAUAAAAAAAUCUCACACCUCUAGAUGAAUUCUCACACCCAUCUGAAAGGUUUUGACAUAUGAUAAUUAUCAAAAAAAAAUCCAAGAGAUGCUUCAUGCAGAAGGACUCUUUAGAAUAUUUUUCUCGAUGAUUCUCUGAUGCGUCGUGCAGCUUCCCAUGGAGUAAUUUUUCUCUACCAUCCAUCAGUAAAUUUUAGUCAUCC
rnacentral:lncRNA from 1 species